UCUCAGUAGAAUCGGGUUAAACACUGAACACCCUUUCUGUUCAAAUAAAUAUCAUCGUGUCGGUAAUCCAAUUAAAAUAAACCUGCAUUCUCUGUAGUGACCAGCAGGGGGCGACUCCUCUGCUCCCAUAGACGUCUAUGAGGAAAUGACUCUACUUCUCUGUAGUGACCAGCAGGGGGCGACUCCUCUGCUCCCAUAGACGUCUAUGAGGAAAUGACUCUACUUCUCUGUAUAUUUAUUCCCUCAGUAAACAUUGUAAACAUGAGUUUAUGGUCUCAGUCUCUAGUUUCAGGUCUUCAACACGUUAUGGUCCAUUUAGCGGGUGCUUUAGGGCGGGGCUACGUGCUGAUUGACAGGUCUCUACCAGAGACGUACACAGGGUCUAAGUCCUCCUCAGUCAAUAUAUGGUCACUUUCUGUUCUGUGGAAACAAAAAAACAAAGCAGCUCAAGGCUCCGAAACGUCAGUAAGCAAACCAAUGACGCCCGUUUCUACUCAAGCGAUGAUGUCACCUCGCUUCUGAAACCAAAUCCCCAGAAACCAUCUGACACGUUAAACCUCAUGUUCCGUCUCGGCCGCUUCCGGAGGUCUUUAAAUCAAACACACCCCCAGACACAGAGAGAUGACCCCCGGGGCUUUUCAUCCCGUCCACAGCUCACUUUAAUGAGUGGCCGCUGCAUUAUUUAGCAGGUGUCUGUGUGUGUGUGUGCGCACUGCAUAUUCACACACACACACACACACACACACACACCAUCACGUUCUCUGACAAACCAAUAAAACACAAAAAGCUCACUGUGGGGCAGCAUUUAAACAAGCAAACAACAGAGGUCAAGUCAUCAAGGCGAAGCAGGACUGAAGACACAGGAAGCUCGACAAUAAUCAUGUACUUGUUUUCUACUCGCGUCUCCUUUUAAUCCUGCAGCGUCUUAAAGGAUCCUCCUGUUUCACCUUCACAGCGAGACAAAACACGGCAACAAACCUGCUCCACCUGACCCCAGGGUCAAAUGUAGGACACAAUGACAGAGGUCAGCGAGUCAAGGUCACCUGACGCAGUCCUGCAGCUGUUGACGAUGAACCAGAUGUUCUCCCAGUAACAGAAACAUCUUCCACGUGGACACUCACUCUAAUCCACAACUUCAUGUGUUCACUGUGACGUCUGUGUGGGGGCGGCGCCCUCUACUGACCAAUAACCGCUCUUUAUUUCAACUACACCGGACUCUGUGUGUGUGUGUGUGUGUGUGUGUGUGUGUGUCUGUGUGCGUGUGGGUUCUUGUACACAAACACGUUUGAUUAGUAACUUCAACUCAAUAUAUACAAUAUUUUAAUAACAUAAUGUUGGAUGUUGAAGAUCAGAUUGUUGCCUUCAGAGAUCACUUAUUGUCCUCAUGACAAUGAGGACGUGAGACAGGCGGUGAGACAGGCAGUGAGACAGCCAGUGAGACAGGACGGUCCUUCUCUACGUAUAAGAUCGUUUCGGCCCCGAGGCCUCCAGUCAGUGCACGUCAGGACCGCUGCGCGCCUUCGCCCUGCGCAGGCAUAGUUCACCACGUGUCAGCCGUAGAGGUCGAGGUGCCUGCAUGGAU
ensembl:lncRNA